rnacentral:rRNA from 1 species
UCUCCGUUGGUGAACCAGCGGAGGGAUCAUUACAGAGUUGAAAAACUCCAACCCCUGUGAACAUACCUUUACUGUUGCUUCGGCGGACGAUGGCCCCCCCCGGGGGCCGGACGCCGCCGGAGGUUACAAACCCUGAAUUUUAGUGUAUCUCUGAGUAUAAAACCAAAUAAUUAAAACUUUCAACAACGGAUCUCUUGGUUCUGGCAUCGAUGAAGAACGCAGCGAAAUGCGAUAAGUAAUGUGAAUUGCAGAAUUCAGUGAAUCAUCGAAUCUUUGAACGCACAUUGCGCCCGCCGGUAUUCCGGCGGGCAUGCCUGUCCGAGCGUCAUUUCACCACUCAAGCCCAGCUUGGUGUUGGGGCACCCGGCCGCCCGGCGGUCGGGGCCCCCAAGAACAUCGGCGGUCUCGCCAGGACCCUGAACGCAGUAACUCGCGGUAAAACGCGCUUCGUUCGGAGGCUUCCCGGCGGGCUCCAGCCGCUAAACCCCCUAAACUUCUUAGGUUGACCUCGGAUCAGGUAGGAAUACCCGCUGAACUUAA